UCCGCCGUUAGUUGUAUUCUUCCUAAGUGGGCGAAAAAUGCACCUUAACUGCGGAGA
rnacentral:pre_miRNA from 1 species